AUGGAACCUUCCAUCCCAUAUUUCCGUGGCUAUGCAUCGGAGUCGGGCGACAAUGGACCCGAUGAAGAAGUGGAUGAGGAGGGGUUCACGGCGAAGGAGGCCGAAGCUUUCGAGAAGGUAUUACGGCGGGAUCAUCGGAUACCAUUGUUCAAGGAUCUUAGUCUCGCGGAUGAAUCAGUGGUUGAUGGUGGCAAGGGUAUAUUUCUUGGAGUUAGGCCAACUUCUCACCGGGAUAUGGAACACGAGAAGAACAUUAUUUCUCCCGGGUCGAAGUUCGAAACCUUUUUGGAAUUGAAGAUGUGGCUCGACGACUUCUCGGUUACGCAUUAUCGUCCGCACAAGGUGGUUCUCUCGGACGUGAAGGUGCGUUACACGGUUGUAUGUGAGGAGGACUGA
rnacentral:rRNA from 1 species